rnacentral:rRNA from 1 species
UACGAAGGGUGCAAGCGUUACUCGGAAUUACUGGGCGUAAAGCGUGCGUAGGUGGUGAGUUAAGUCUGAUGUGAAAUCCCCGGGCUCAACCUGGGAAUGGCAUUGGAUACUGGCUCGCUAGAGUGCGGUAGAGGGUGGUGGAAUUCCCGGUGUAGCAGUGAAAUGCGUAGAGAUCGGGAGGAACAUCUGUGGCGAAGGCGGCCACCUGGACCAACACUGACACUGAGGCACGAAAGCGUGGGGAGCAAACAGGAUUAGAUACCCUGGUAGUCCACGCCCUAAACGAUGCGAACUGGAUGUUGGGUGCAACUUGGCACUCAGUAUCGAAGCUAACGCGUUAAGUUCGCCGCCUGGGGAGUACGGUCGCAAGACUGAA